GGGAAACUGGGUCUAAUACCGGAUAGGAGCCAUUUUUAGUGUGAUGGUUGGAAAGUUUUUUCGGUGUAGGAUGAGCUCGCGGCCUAUCAGCUUGUUGGUGGGGUAAUGGCUACCAAGGCGGCGACGGGUAGCCGGCCUGAGAGGGUGGACGGCCACAUUGGGACUGAGAUACGGCCCAG
rnacentral:rRNA from 1 species